GUAGCUCAGUGGUAGAGCACUUGUCUUGCAUGCAUGAGGUCCUGGGUUCAAUCCCCAGC
rnacentral:tRNA from 1 species